AAAUGAAUAGACGGGGGGCCGCACAAGCAGCGGAGCGUGUGGUUUAAUUCGAUGCUACGCGAAGAACCUUACCUGGGCUUGACAUAACGGUGGUAGUGAACCGAAAGGGGAACGACCUUCGGGAGCCGUUACAGGUGCUGCAUGGCUGUCGUCAGCUCGUGCCGUGAGGUGUUCGGUUAAGUCCGCAAACGAGCGCAACCCUCGCCGUUAGUUACAAGUGUCUAGCGGGACUGCCCGUGGCAAACGGGAGGAAGGUGGGGAUGACGUCAAGUCAGCAUGGCCUUUAUGUCCAGGGCGACACACACGCUACAAUGGGUGGUACAACAGGUUGCGAAGCCGCGAGGUGGAGCCAAUCCUAUAAAGCCAUUCACAGUUCGGAUUGCAGGCUGCAACUCGCCUGCAUGAAGUCGGAGUUGCUAGUAACCGCAGGUCAGCACACUGCGGUGAAUACGUUCCCGGCCCUUGUACACACCGCCCGU
rnacentral:rRNA from 1 species